GUCGUUAAAUACUGAGAAGUUUUUAUGUCAGAAAUGAACAUAUUAUUCUUUAUUAGUCGUUAUCUAAUCAUGAGAGCAGAUAAAAGUUGGAGAACACUGUACGACAGCCGUGAAAAGUGAUGCGCAAGUUCCGGAGCACUUCCAGAUCACCGAUCUGUCAGUAUGGACUUUUCCCGGAUUAUCAUACAAGUUAUUCUUGUUAUCUCUCUUGUUGAAGACAACUCUAUUGAAGAAUAAGAAUGGUACGACCAAACAGUAGAUCGCCACAAGAGGUGAUUCGGUGCAAUCCUAGUAAUACUGGGUGUAUACUAACUGGCAGUAUUACUGGAUACAGCUACGUUAUUGACUCAUCAACACAGACCACUCUAACUAUACAAUCUUUCAACCCUAAAACAGAUGUUGGAGAGUGGAUUUGUCGUGAUGGAACAUCAGGUGUUGGCCAGUCUACAUGCAACAUGAUAC